UACGGGGGGGGCAAGCGUUGUUCGGAAUUACUGGGCGUAAAGGGCUCGUAGGCGGCCAACUAAGUCAGACGUGAAAUCCCUCGGCUUAACCGGGGAACUGCGUCUGAUACUGGAUGGCUGGAGGUUGGGAGAGGGAUGCGGAAUUCCAGGUGUAGCGGUGAAAUGCGUAGAUAUCGAGAGGAACACCUGCGGCGAAGGCGGGUUGCUGGGCUGACACUGACGCUGAUGCGCGAAAGCCAGGGGAGCGAACGGG
rnacentral:rRNA from 1 species